AUUGAACGCUGGCGGCAGGCCUAACACAUGCAAGUCGAACGAGCGGCGGACGGGUGUGUAAUGUAUGGGGACUGCCCUACAGAGGGGGAUAACUACUGGAAUCGGUAGCUAAUACCGCAUACUAUCGCAUAUCCCAUAUGGGAUUAGCGAGUAGGUGGGGUAAAGGCGCACCUAGGCGACGAUCCCUAGCUGGGCUGAGAGGAUGAUCAGCGACACUGGGACUGAGACACGGCACGGACUGCUACGGAGGCAGCAGAGGGGAAUAUUGCACAAUGGGCGCAAGCCGGAUGCAGCCAUGCCGCGUGUAUGAAGAAGGCCCUAGUGUUGUAAAGUACUUUCAGUCGGGAGGCGUUACCGGCAGAAGAAGCACCGGCUAACUCCGUGCCAGCAGCCGCGGUAAUUC
rnacentral:rRNA from 1 species